GCAGAUGAUGCGAAGACUGGAGCCACUGAACCAAGCGGUGGGAUCGAGCAGCCAUAGCGCAUUGGCUGGAGGCGGCCUUCUUCUUCGCACAUAUCUACACUUCAGUGCCCCCCCUCGCGCGUCCGGCCGGAGCUACGGGCGACUUAGUUGCUCCUGUAGGACCCGAGCUUGGCGGCGCUGGCCCUCAGCACAUACUGGUGGUAGGCGGCGGCAAUGGCGGCGCCGAUCAGUGGCCCCACCCAGAAGAUCCACUGCACGAACACAAACAGCAAUCAGCACGUGGCAGGCAGAUCAGCGCCAGAGGCGCCCGCUUCAUUGGAAGAUUAUGUGAUGUAGGAUAUCCGAAGCAAUCUUUAUAACGAUUUGAUUCUCCAUGGUUAGAGAAACUGAAGAAAUUAGCAUAGUUAGAUCAUUUGGUCGAUGGUGACAUGCAAUUCAGCGGAUUUUAAAACUGGUUGUUAUGUUACACGGGGCAUCUUUUAGGUGGGCGUGAGGUAGGGAUUAGGUUUUAUAUCACCUCAAGACAGUGGAUGAGUAUGUCAUGCAUAACCUAUAAGUGAGUAGUUCGAAUGAUGAUAGAUGAAAUUUUGGAGUGUUGACACUGACACCAGCUAGCUAGCUGUUUAAUUAUUAAUUUUGCCAGCCUUAUCCUGCCGUUCAUCUGCAGUAUUUUCGAAAGCAGACGUCCGUUUGCAAUAUACUAUUCAUGUGUUAUUUGUCAGCCUUAUCCUGAUUACUAAUAAGUAUAUUAAGUAACUAAUCAUGAUAAGUUUUCUUUUUAAUAUCAACUAAGCAUGAUAAGUUAAUCAAAUAUAUGCCGUGUGAUUGUCAAUUCAGUCUAGAGUUAUCAAGUACUAGUCGAUUGCGAGUUGUGAUCAAAGUUAAGUAGCAGUAGCUGAUAAAUAUUUUAUGCCGUUGCUUAGCUGUACUAAGUAUACUAGUCUAGUAGCAUAUAACUCUAUUGGCCAUGAUAAUGUACUGAUGUCUCGUACUUGGUCAUCCCAGGCCUUGUCAGUGUUGUAGAUGACAGCAGCUCCCAAGCUUCUCGCGGGGUUGAUGCCGGUGCCGGUGAUGGGGAUGGUGGCCAAGUGGACCAUGAACACAGCGAAUCCGAUUGGGAGAGGAGCCAGCACCUGAGUAGAUCAGUAAGUUCAAAACAUUCAGAUCAAGCCGUAAACACACAUCAGCUUAACUAGCAUGCACGCUGAGCAGUUACAUCAAAGAGACUGACAAGAGCAAGCAUCUUGCUCAAUAUUAUACUGCUAAUUAAGGACAAAACAAGUCGCUGAUUUUGUAAAUGUUGCUAUACUUUUUAGGUUAAUUGUAGAUAUUAUUUCUAAAUUGAAUAUACAUUUCAACACAAAAGAAAGCCACUAAGAGCAUGCUUGUUUGAGAAUUGUGGAACUAGAAAGGGAUGGUUCAACAAAUCUGAAGGACAAAAUAGGUCCAGGCAUGACAUUAUCCCUGGACUUCUGCAAUUUGUUCCUACCCAUGGAAUAUAUCUCGUCAUUAAUUGGUGGCGAUCAUUUUCGAUUCGCCACCACAGAUUUUCUGUAGACGAUGAGGCGAGACAGCGACUAGUGCCUAAUUGAACGAGAGAAUCUUCCUAUCUGCCUAUUGGCACGCAGUGGAUCAGACAAGAAGAUACAUUCGCACAUGCAGGUGCUUGAUGUAGAGUGAUUCGUCAAUUUUGGACCAUAGAUCUUGCAUUUUUUGGGGCACUUUAGCAUUUAGGUUCAUUAAAAUGCUUCAUUUUGUCAGGAUUUGUGAACUUGGUUGCCCUACUCCGGCGCUCCCUCCCAAAAGUAUUUUGCUACUAUAGCACUGCAAAAAUGCUAUAUCUACGUAAGUAACUAACGUAAACUUACGUUCCUUAUUUCCUUAACCAAUCACCGGUCCCCUGAUUUUUAGGGAUGGGCCUGUAUUGUUUUUAUCUUUCAACUAACUCAUGCCAGAUCAUCUUAAACGUAAGUUUACGUUAAAAACUUACGUAGAUGUAUCAAAGCUCAUAGCACUGGUAGUAGAAAUUGAGUAUAUGAUUUGAUAAUCGCUUUUUAGUUUUUACCAACUAUUAACUUCAGUAAUUCGAGUUUAACUUACUAGAAUAUUCUUUCUGAGCACACUUGUUAGAAUGUUUUCUCGUUCUUAAGUAAGUUGUUCCAAUACUAAGUCAACGACUUCCGCAGCACUUUGAUCUGCAGCCAAUUCUAUCAUUGGCCAUAAACCCAUAUACUCUAAAGUGUACUUUUCUUUUGAUGGACACUGUAAAGUGUCUCUAUGGUUUAAUGGUAUAUAUACUGCUACGCUAUAGUAGCCAUGAGCGAUGCAACUAGCGAGACGUUUCAGUAGCCAGUCUCAGUAGUAGUACUAGUACUCACCGGGAUGUGGGAAUCACGGGCGUUGCGCUUGGGGUCGGUGGCGGAGAAGACCGUGUAGACGAGCACGAAGGUGCCGAUGAUCUCGGCCGCUAGACCGGUGCCCUUGGAGUAGCCUGCGCUGAGCUCGUUGGCGCCACCGCCGUACCGCACGUAGUAGGAGCUCUGGAAGCCCUUGACAAGGCCGACGCCGCAGAUGGCGCCGAGGCACUGCGCGAUGAUGUAGAGCAGCGCCCGGAUGAGCGACACCUUCCUCGCCAGGAACAACCCGAAGGUCACCGCCGGGUUGAUGUGUCCACCUAUGCAUCGUGAAGAGAGAACGCGGGUCAGUCACACGCAUGUGCAUGAUGCAUGCAUACAUGCAGUUAGUAUGCGCGAGAAGUUAAGAGAACUAGUGGUCGAUCGACGGACGGACCUGAGACGCCGGCGGUGCAGUAGACGAGGACGAAGAUCAUGCCGCCGAAGGCCCAUGCUAUGCCGAGGAUGCCGACGCCGCUGCAGGCCGCGUCGGUGGUGUUGACGGUGGGGUCGGACUGGUGCUUGUACCCGAUGACGGUGGCCACGGUGAUGUAGAGGAAGAGGAGCGUGGCGACGAACUCGGCGAUCACCGCGCGGUACAGCGACCACUUGGUCAGCUCCUCGAAGUCCACGAUCGGCGCCGGGGGCGGGUCCGAGUA
rnacentral:lncRNA from 1 species